AUUGAACGCUGGCGGCAUGCCUUACACAUGCAAGUCGGACGAGUGGCGAACGGGUGAGUAAUGUAUCGGAAUGUACCGUGUAAUGGGGGAUAUCUGUUCGACAGGAGCGCUAAUACCGCAUAAUAUUCGAGCGGCCGAUGUGUGAUUAGCUUGUGUGGGGGGUAAAGGCUCCCCUAGGCGACGAUCUGUAGCGGGUCUGAGAGGAGGAUCCGCCACACUGGAACUGAGACACGGCCCAGACUCCUACGGGAGGCAGCAGUGGGGAAUAUUGGACAAUGGGCGCAAGCCUGAUGCAGCCAUGCCGCGUGUCUGAAGAAGGCCUUCGGGUUGUAAAGGACUUUUAUCAGGGAGGCGUUACCUGAAGAAGAAGCACCGGCUAACUACGUGCCAGCAGCCGCGGUAAUUC
rnacentral:rRNA from 1 species